CAUUAAAUAACUUGAGUUUAUUUAUCGUCAAGUUAAAUUCAAUAAGUUAUUUAUUACACAAGUUACAAUAAUGACGAAGUUACACCGUCGCUCAAAAGUAUCUUACAGUUUUUCAACAUUUUCGUCUUUUUUCCUAAUUCUUCAAAAGUCUUACCGAGCGACUUACACAAAGUGACCGAAUUAUUUAUAAACUUUGAAAAUAUACGGAGUGAUUCAUAUAAAAUGAUCGAUAUUGAAUUUUUCUUAAUGCUUUUAAUGCUAUCGGAUAAAACAAAUGUAACAACAAAUUACUGUUAAGAAAUUUUAUGAAGAAUAUAGAACAACAUAGUACGCUUAUGAUUAUGUAUCGCUUCGACUAUUUACAGAACUAUGCACAAGAUUGUUGUAAAGUACUAGUAGAGUGAUUCCAAAGAAUAAACACUCGUCUGAAUGCCAUUGCUCAUAAUAAUUAAAAAAAAGAUAAGAUUACACUUAUGAUACAUUUUUUAGGCCCAAAUCAGUCUAUCUUCAAUAGUAUCUUUUCUUCUCCACUUCUAGCGUUUGAUAGAGGUAUUGCUUCUUCCGUAUCUUUAUGAUACUUGUAUCAUAGAAUCAGUAACGAAUGGAUUAGAUGAUUUAAACCAUUUAAAAAUAGUACUCUCAUGAUAUCUCUUAAUGGAUCAACCUAAUGGUGUCCCCAUACACUCUAAAUGGUCUCUUCCUGAUCUUAUAUAAGUCGGUUGCUUCUCGCUGAGAAGCAAGUUUGAGAUUUGACUUGCUUAAGUGCUAUUACUCGUUGUUGUGCUCGGGAAACUCCAUCGAACGAAGUCAUGAAAUUUAUUCUAUUUUUCUUGUUAAUCGCCGUUGGACAAUAUGCAGAAGUGACAUGUUUUGUGCCUUUCAACUAUGGAGAUAUAUUGUCCCAAUCAAUUAGACAACUUAGACAAGAAGUAGAUGAAACAGCCGUAGAUAUCCAGUAUAGGUUAUACACUGUAGCCAUUGAAAUCUUUGCGAAUGCUAUUUUUUCUUUACGGGAUAAAGCGCACCAAAACUAUGUAUACCUUGUUGAGUUGAUAAAUUACUACAAAGAAGGUAGGUUCUUGAAGUGCACUGAGACAAUGUUAACACAACAUACACAUAUAUAAUAAAAAUAAAUAUACAAAAAUUAGGCACUUAAUUAUAACUUUAUUUUAUUAUAGCUCUUUUGUGUAUCAAAAACAAUCCAUCACAACUACUAGCAGCUAUUAGUAACAUCACAAUAACUUACGAGAGGCAGAAAGGUGGGGUUAUGAUCGUUAAACUAAAAAAUCAAGGAGAGCAAGUAUCUGAAGAUAAAUCGUUUGAAUCAUCAAAAAAUGAUGGAAAUUAAAACGUCAAUAUUAUUACUACUAAAGCAAAAUUUUCUUCUAUCAUCGUGGAAGACAACUAGGUACUCGACUAUCAAGAGCGAACAUCGAUUGUUAAUAACAAUAAGAAAUGAUGUAAUGAAAGAUCACACAAAAAUAAAGAAUCAAAUGAUUCUCCAAACCACAAUCUCAGAAGCACCCUAAAAUAAUAAGAUGAAAAAAAAAUAACGUGUUAUCAAAGAAUAGUUAAAGAAAUAACGAAAAGGAAGGAAACCGGAGCUGCCUCUCCGGUGAACUUUGAUAUGGAACCUAAUCUGUGUUCAAAAAACGACGAUAAUAAGUAUAUGAUAAGAAGACAAAGAAAAUUUAAAAGCAUCUAUAACAAUAAAGUUAUUUAACUGUGUCAAAAAUAUUAUAGAGACUAUAUAAUAUUUUCUCAAUAUGUAUUUAACAUAUAAUAAAUUUGGCUAUAAUUAAUUUUGAA